rnacentral:siRNA from 1 species
UGUUAAUUCUCUCUUAUUUGGGA